UCUGGUUGAUCCUGCCAGUAGUGAUAUGCUUGUUUCAAAGAUUAAGCCAUGCAUGUCUAAGUAUAAGCGAACUUAUACAGUGAAACUGCGGAUGGCUCAUUAAAACAGUUUGAAUUUAUUUGAUGAAUGUAUGAGAAUACUACUUGGAUAACCGUAGUAAUUCUAGAGCUAAUACAUGCAACGACGCCCGACCGUUUCACUACGGAAGGGCUGUAUUUAUUGGAUACCAAAACCAUCCUUCCCUCGGGAAGUUUUGUUUGAUGAUUCACAAUAACUGAUCGGAUCGCCACUGUGGUGGCGACAGGUCAUUCAACAUUCUGCCCUAUCAGCUUUCGAUGGUUGUGUAGUGGACAACCAUGGCCAUAACGGGUAACGGAGAAUCAGGGUUCGAUUCCGGAGAAGGAGCUUGAGAAUUGGCUACUACAUCUAAGGAAGGCAGCAGGCGCGCAAAUUACCCAAUCCCGAUUCGGGGAGGUAGUGACAAAAAAUAACAAUACCGGGCCUUUUUGGGCUUGGUAAUUGGAAUGAGGGAGAGUUAAACGGACCAUCGAGUAUCCAUUGGAGGGCAAGUCUGGUGCCAGCAGCUGCGGUAAUACCAGCUCCAAUAGCGUAUAUUAAAUUUGUUGCAGUUAAAAAGCUCGUAGUUGGACUUGUGUGCGCUGUCCGCGGGUGGCCUGCGCCCAAAAGGGCGUUUCGGUUCGGCCCCGGUGGCGCCUUGAAAUCUGCAGCUGGGGGGACGUUGGCCUUAACUGGUCGGCGACCGCACGCCGGCUGCUCGGUUACUGUGAGAAAAUUAGAGUGUUCAAGGCAGGCAUUGGGUGCAAUUGAAUACAUUAGCAUGGAAUAAUAAAAUAUGGCUCCUGCCGUAUUUUGUUGGUUUUGACUGGUGGGAGUAAUGAUUGAUAGGGACGGUUGGGGGUGCUAGUAUUGAGCGGCCAGAGGUGAAAUUCAUGGAUUCGCUCAAGACUAACUUAUGCGAAAGCAUUCACCAAGGACGUCCUCUUUAAUCAAGAACGAAAGUUGGGGGAUCGAAGACGAUCAGAUACCGUCGUAGUCUCAACCAUAAACUAUGUCGACUUGGGAUCGGCGGUAGUUUUUUCAUUAAGACACUGUCGGGACCACGGGAGAAAUCAAAGUGUCUGGACUCUGGGGGAAGUAUGGUCGCAAGGCUGAAACUUGAAGGAAUUGACGGAAGGGCACCACCAGGAGUGGAGCCUGCGGCUUAAUUUGACCCAACACGGGGAAACUUACCAGGUCCAGAGAUGUAGAGGAUUGACAGAUUGAAGCUCUUUCUUGAUCACUUCGGUGGUGGUGCAUGGCCGUUCUUAGUUGGUGGAGUGAUUUGUCUGGUUA
rnacentral:rRNA from 1 species